rnacentral:rRNA from 1 species
CCUACGGGAGGCAGCAGUGAGGAAUAUUGGUCAAUGGGCGGGAGCCUGAACCAGCCAAGUCGCGUGAGGGAAGACGGUCCUAUGGAUUGUAAACCUCUUUAGGCGGGGAGCAAUGCCGGGCACGCGUGCCCGGAGGGAGAGUACCCGCAGAAUAAGCAUCGGCUAACUCCGUGCCAGCAGCCGCGGUAAUACGGAGGAUGCGAGCGUUAUCCGGAUUUAUUGGGUUUAACGGGUGCGUAGGCGGAUUUUUAAGUCAGCGGUAAAAUGUCCGGGCUCAACCCGGGCCGGCCGUUGAAACUGGGGAGCUUGAGUGGGCGAGAAGUAUGCGGAAUGCGUGGUGUAGCGGUGAAAUGCAUAGAUAUCACGCAGAACUCCGAUUGCGAAGGCAGCAUACCGGCGCCCGACUGACGCUGAGGCACGAAAGCGUGGGGAUCGAACAGGAUUAGAUACCCGGGUAGUC